GGUCCAGGCUGGCGGUCCGACGCCUGUCGGUUACUGCCUGCUCCUGACCUACCUCCCGGUUUUUCGCCCUUGGUGCUCUUGACUGAGUGUCUCGGGUGGCCGGAACGUUUACUUUGAAAAAAUUAGAGUGUUCAAAGCAGGCAAUAUCGCCUGAAUAAUGGUGCAUGGAAUAAUGGAAUAGGACCUCGGUUCUAUUUUGCUGGUUUUCGGAGCUCGAGGUAAUGAUUAAGAGGGACUGACGGGGGCAUUCGUAUUACGGUGUUAGAGGUGAAAUUCUUGGAUCGCCGUAAGACGAACUACUGCGAAAGCAUUUGCCAAGCAUGUUUUCAUUAGUCAAGAACGAAAGUCAGAGGUUCGAAGACGAUCAGAUACCGUCGUAGUUCUGACCAUAAACGAUGCCAACUAGCGAUCCGCCGGAGUUGCUUCAAUGACUCGGCAGGCAGCCCCCGGGAAACCAAAGUUUUUGGGUUCCGGGG
rnacentral:rRNA from 1 species